GGACGGAUGGCUGAGUUUAAGGCACCGGUUUUGAAAACCGGCGUGCGUUCGCGUACCGGGGGUUCGAAUCCCUCUCCGUCCG
rnacentral:tRNA from 1 species